CCAGACUCCUACGGGAGGCAGCAGUGAGGAAUAUUGGUCAAUGGCCGAGAGGCUGAACCAGCCAAGUCGCGUGAGGGAAGACGGCCCUACGGGUUGUAAACCUCUUUUGUCGGGGAGCAAAGCGAGUCACGUGUGACUCAUUGAGAGUACCCGAAGAAAAAGCAUCGGCUAACUCCGUGCCAGCAGCCGCGGUAAUACGGAGGAUGCGAGCGUUAUCCGGAUUUAUUGGGUUUAAAGGGCGCGUAGGCGGAUUUUUAAGUCAGCGGUAAAAUGUCCGGGCUCAACCCGGGCCGGCCGUUGAAACUGGGGAUCUUGAGUGGGCGAGAAGUAUGCGGAAUGCGUGGUGUAGCGGUGAAAUGCAUAGAUAUCACGCAGAACUCCGAUUGCGAAGGCAGCAUACCGGCGCCCGACUGACGCUGAAGCACGAAAGCGUGGGUAUCGAACAGGAUUAGAUACCCCUGUA
rnacentral:rRNA from 1 species